AUUGAACGCUGGCGGCAGGCCUAACACAUGCAAGUCGAGCGAGCGGCGGACGGGUGAGUAAUGUAUGGGGACUGCCCGAUAGAGGGGGAUAACUACUGGAAACGGUAGCUAAUACCGCAUACUAUCGGAUAACCCAUAUGGGAUUAGCUAGUCGGUGGGGUAAGGGCUCACCCAGGCGACGAUCCCUAGCUGGUCUGCGAGGAUGAUCAGCCACACUGGGACUGAAACACGGCCCAGACUCCUACGGAGGCAGCAGUGGGGAAUAGUGGACAAUGGGCGGAAGCCUGAUGCAGCCAUGCCGCGUGUUUGAAGAAGGCCUUCGGGUUGUAAAGCACUUUCAGCGAGGAGGCGUUACUCGCAGGAGAAGCACCGGCUAACGCCGUGCCAGCAGCCGCGGUAAUAC
rnacentral:rRNA from 1 species